rnacentral:lncRNA from 1 species
AAAUAUUUUUACCCAAAUUAUCUUAUUUGUUUAUAAUUUGCUUGUAGCAUACACUGUAAUUGAUAAGAUAGCAAGUAUAAUGCAUGAAUAAAAUAAAAAUAUUAUCAUAAUACUCCUGUCUUAAAGCAAGACAGUCUUCACAAAAUAAAGUAUCGUAGGUAGGCAUUUAAUUUAAAAUUAUUUAAUUGAGUUAGAGUGAAAGGAAGGGCUUACGAUGGAGUAUAAAUGAUGUAUUGAGAGGAGGGAGAAGGGUGAAGAGCCAUUAGGAAUAAGCUCGAAAUUGCAGUGGCCCAUAUUGUUCAUAAAGUCCAGGUAAGUGACGUAGGCAGCUAAGGCAAUAACGGAGACGGUACCAGUUAGCACCGUUGUCAAGAUGGGUAUUGAAAAAGGAGGAAGUAUGCUAUGGCUCUGCAAAUGGAUGAAUCACAGCUGCCACAGCCACAGAUGGUUCAGUACCAUAACCAUGUGGAUUGAUGAUUAAAUUACGUACGUAGGUGAUGAAGUCUUACAAGUCGAGAGUAAAGAUAAUGGUGAUGCAGUGCUCUAUGAAGCCAGUAGUAAAGGAACUCCACAGGGCCGGCAUGGAGCAACAUGGUUAUAAUCACACCAUCCAAUCUCCAAAAGGGUAAGUGUGAACCUCCUGGAACGUAGAUGUUGCCCAAGUAAAACAGGAUUGCGUUGAACAUUAUUUGAUCAUCCCUGCAUGCAGCCAUUAAUUAAUUAAUUGUCGUCAUUGGGUAAUUAAAAAAAAAAAAGAUUUUUUGUUGCUCAUAAAAUAAAAAUAUUAUCAUAAUACUCCUGUUCUUAAAGCAAGACAGUCUUCACAAAAUAAAGUAUCGUAGGUAGGCAUUUAAUUUAAAAUUAUUUAAUUGAGUUAGAGUGAAAGGAAGGGCUUACGAUGGAGUAUAAAUGAUGUACUUGAGAGGAGGGAGAAGGGUGAAGAGCCAG